CUGGCACUCCAACCGAGUACUUCCGCCAAUCGAUGCUCCUAGUGCUUGCCAAGGACUCCAACCGACACCAUCAGCAUUGCAGACUUAUCCCAUCCCCCAAGCAUGAGCCAAGGCUUCAAGAAAGGGUCAAGCAGGUCUGUUUAAUGAGCACACAAAAGCAUGCAGCAAAACAACUCCUCCGCAGAGGAAAACAAAAUGACAGUUAAAAGACAGACGGUAAACACAAAGAAAGACCAAUAGUGCAAAACCGUUAGGAG